rnacentral:rRNA from 1 species
GACGAACGCUGGCGGCGUGCUUAACACAUGCAAGUCGAACGGAAAGGUCCUGCUUUUUUGGGGUGCUCGAGUGGCGAACGGGUGAGUAACCCGUGAGUACCCUGCCCCUGCCUGUGGGAUAACUUCAGACCACUUAGGCUAUUACCGCAUAGGAGCUCCUGCUGCUUGGUGGGGGUUGGUUAGUUUCGGCGGUUGGGGAUGGACUCGCGGCUUAUCAGCUUGGUGCUGGGGUAGUGGCUUACCAAGGCUUUGACAGGUGGCCGGGCUGAGAGGGUGACCGGCCACACUGGGACUGAGAUACGACACAGACUCCUCUGGGAGGGAGAAGUGGAGAAGAGAGCACUAUGGGCGGAGGGCAGAUGCAGCAACGCAGCGUGCGGGAUGAGGUGCAGCGGGUUGGAAACCGCUGCUGUUUGUGCCGAAAUGUGAGUGACGGUAACGGGUAAAGAAGCACCGGCUAACUACGUG